rnacentral:lncRNA from 1 species
GGCAGCAGUACCAGUGUGUAUGUCUGCAGUACCAGUGUGGAUGUCAGCAGUACAAGUGUGUAUGUCAGCAGUACCAGUGUGUAUGUCAGCAGUACCAGUGUGUAUGUCAGCAGUGUGUAUGUCAGCCAGUACCAUGUGUAUGCUCAGGGUGUUGUCAGCAGUACCAGUGUGUAAUGUCGCAGUACGUGUGUAUGUCAGUAGUACCAGUGUGUAUGUCAGCAGUACCCAGUUGUAUGUCAGCAGUAUCAGUGUGUAUGUCUUCGCAGUACCGUGGUUCGCAGUACGUGUGUAUGUCAGCAGUACCAGUGUGUAUGGCAGCAGUACCAGUGUG